rnacentral:rRNA from 1 species
CCUACGGGGGCAGCAGUGGGGAAUAUUGGACAAUGGGCGAAAGCCUGAUCCAGCCAUGCCGCGUGUGUGAAGAAGGCCUUCGGGUUGUAAAGCACUUUCAGUGGGGAAGAAAGCCUUGGGGCUAAUACCCUCGAGGAAGGACAUCACCCACAGAAGAAGCACCGGCUAACUCCGUGCCAGCAGCCGCGGUAAUACGGAGGGUGCGAGCGUUAAUCGGAAUUACUGGGCGUAAAGCGCGCGUAGGCGGUCUGAUAAGCCGGUUGUGAAAGCCCCGGGCUCAACCUGGGAACGGCAUCCGGAACUGUCAGGCUAGAGUGCAGGAGAGGAAGGUAGAAUUCGCGGUGUAGCGGUGAAAUGCGUAGAGAUCGGGAGGAAUACCAGUGGCGAAGGCGGCCUUCUGGACUGACACUGACGCUGAGGUGCGAAAGCGUGGGUAGCAAACAGGAUUAGAUACCCGAGUAGUC